UACGUAGGGGGCAAGCGUUGUCCGGAAUCAUUGGGCGUAAAGAGCGUGUAGGCGGCCAGAUAAGUCCGCUGUGAAAUCUCGAGGCUCAACUUCGAGCUGUCGGUGGAAACUGUCUGGCUAGAGUCCGGAAGAGGAGAAUGGAAUUCCUGGUGUAGCGGUGAAAUGCGUAGAUAUCAGGAGGAACACCGGUGGUGUAGACGGCUUUCUGGACCGUAACUGACGCUGAGACACGAAAGCGUGGGUAGCAAACAGG
rnacentral:rRNA from 1 species